rnacentral:rRNA from 1 species
UUAAGCGACUAAGCGUACACGGUGGAUGCCCUGGCAGUCAGAGGCGAUGAAGGACGUGCUAAUCUGCGAAAAGCGUCGGUAAGGUGAUAUGAACCGUUAUAGCCGGCGAUGUCCGAAUGGGGAAACCCAGUGCAAUUCGUUGCACUAUCGUUUGAUGAAUACAUAGUCAAACGAGGCGAACCGGGGGAACUGAAACAUCUAAGUACCCCGAGGAAAAGAAAUCAACCGAGAUUCCCCCAGUAGCGGCGAGCGAACGGGGAGCAGCCCGGAGUCUGAAUCAGCUUGUGUGUUAGUGGAAGCGUCUGGAAAGUCGCAGGGUACAGGGUGAUACUCCCGUACACUAAAACGCACAGGUUGUGAACUCGAAGAGUAGGGCGGGACACGUGGUAUCCUGUCUGAAUAUGGGGGGACCAUCCUCCAAGGCUAAAUACUCCUGACUGACCGAUAGUGAACCAGUACCGUGAGGGAAAGGCGAAAAGAACCCCGGCGAGGGGAGUGAAAAAGAACCUGAAACCGUGUACGUACAAGCAGUAGGAGCCUCUUUAUGGGGUGACUGCGUACCUUUUGUAUAAUGGGUCAGCGACUUAUAUUCUGUAGCAAGGUUAACCGUAUAGGGGAGCCGCAGGGAAACCGAGUCUUAACUGGGCGUUAAGUUGCAGGGUAUAGACCCGAAACCCGGUGAUCUAGCCAUGGGCAGGUUGAAGGUUGGGUAACACUAACUGGAGGACCGAACCGACUAAUGUUGAAAAAUUAGCGGAUGACUUGUGGCUGGGGGUGAAAGGCCAAUCAAACCGGGAGAUAGCUGGUUCUCCCCGAAAGCUAUUUAGGUAGCGCCUCGUGAACUCAUCUUCGGGGGUAGAGCACUGUUUCGGCUAGGGGGUCAUCCCGACUUACCAACCCGAUGCAAACUACGAAUACCGAAGAAUGUUAUCACGGGAGACACACGGCGGGUGCUAACGUCCGUCGUGAAGAGGGAAACAACCCAGACCGCCAGCUAAGGUCCCAAAGUCAUGGUUAAGUGGGAAACGAUGUGGGAAGGCCCAGACAGCCAGGAUGUUGGCUUAGAAGCAGCCAUCAUUUAAAGAAAGCGUAAUAGCUCACUGGUCGAGUCGGCCUGCGCGGAAGAUGUAACGGGGCUAAACCAUGCACCGAAGCUGCGGCAGCGACACUAUGUGUUGUUGGGUAGGGGAGCGUUCUGUAAGCCGUUGAAGGUGGCCUGUGAGGGUUGCUGGAGGUAUCAGAAGUGCGAAUGCUGACAUAAGUAACGAUAAUGCGGGUGAAAAACCCGCACGCCGGAAGACCAAGGGUUCCUGUCCAACGUUAAUCGGGGCAGGGUGAGUCGACCCCUAAGGCGAGGCCGAAAGGCGUAGUCGAUGGGAAACAGGUUAAUAUUCCUGUACUCGGUGUUACUGCGAAGGGGGGACGGAGAAGGCUAUGUUGGCCGGGCGACGGUUGUCCCGGUUUAAGCAUGUAGGCGGAUGUUCCAGGUAAAUCCGGAACGUUAUUAACGCUGAGGUGUGAUGACGAGGCACUACGGUGCUGAAGUGACAAAUGCCCUGCUUCCAGGAAAAGCCUCUAAGCAUCAGGUAACAUCAAAUCGUACCCCAAACCGACACAGGUGGUCAGGUAGAGAAUACCAAGGCGCUUGAGAGAACUCGGGUGAAGGAACUAGGCAAAAUGGUGCCGUAACUUCGGGAGAAGGCACGCUGAUAUGUAGGUGAAGUGGUUUACCCAUGGAGCUGAAAUCAGUCGAAGAUACCAGCUGGCUGCAACUGUUUAUUAAAAACACAGCACUGUGCAAACACGAAAGUGGACGUAUACGGUGUGACGCCUGCCCGGUGCCGGAAGGUUAAUUGAUGGGGUUAUCCGUAAGGAGAAGCUCUUGAUCGAAGCCCCGGUAAACGGCGGCCGUAACUAUAACGGUCCUAAGGUAGCGAAAUUCCUUGUCGGGU